UACGUAGGGGGCAAGCGUUAUCCGGAUUUAUUGGGUGUAAAGGGCGUGUAGGCGGGAAUGCAAGUCAGAUGUGAAAACUCAGGGCUCAACCCUGAGCCUGCAUUUGAAACUGUGUUUCUUGAGUGCUGGAGAGGCAAUCGGAAUUCCGUGUGUAGCGGUGAAAUGCGUAGAUAUACGGAGGAACACCAGUGGCGAAGGCGGAUUGCUGGACAGUAACUGACGCUGAGGCGCGAAAGCGUGGGGAGCAAACAGG
rnacentral:rRNA from 1 species